AGAGUUUGAUCCUGGCUCAGGAUGAACGCUGGCGGCGUGCUUAACACAUGCAAGUCGAGCGAAGCGCUUAAGUUUGAUUCUUCAGAUGAAGACUUUUGUGACUGAGCGGCGGACGGGUGAGUAACGCGUGGGUAACCUGCCUCAUACAGGGGGAUAACAGUUAGAAAUGACUGCUAAUACCGCAUAAGACCACAGGGUCGCAUGACCCGGUGGUAAAAACUCCGGUGGUAUGAGAUGGACCCGCGUCUGAUUAGCUAGUUGGUGGGGUAACGGCUCACCAAGGCGACGAUCAGUAGCCGACCUGAGAGGGUGACCGGCCACAUUGGGACUGAGACACGGCCCAAACUCUUACGGGAGGCAGCAGUGGGGAAUAUUGCACAAUGGGCGAAAGCCUGAUGCAGCGACGCCGCGUGAAGGAUGAAGUAUUUCGGUAUGUAAACUUCUAUCAGCAGGGAAGAAAAUGACGGUACCUGACUAAGAAGCCCCGGCUAACUACGUGCCAGCAGCCGCGGUAAUACGUAGGGGGCAAGCGUUAUCCGGAUUUACUGGGUGUAAAGGGAGCGUAGACGGCAUGGCAAGUCUGUAGUGAAAGCCCGGGGCUCAACCCCGGGACUGCUUUGGAAACUGUCAGGCUAGAGUGCUGGAGAGGUAAGUGGAAUUCCUAGUGUAGCGGUGAAAUGCGUAGAUAUUAGGAGGAACACCAGUGGCGAAGGCGGCUUACUGGACAGUAACUGACGUUGAGGCUCGAAAGCGUGGGGAGCAAACAGGAUUAGAUACCCUGGUAGUCCACGCCGUAAACGA
rnacentral:rRNA from 1 species